GGAGAAAACAUAUUUAGCGUGCUAGGAAAAGGUGCAGCCUCAUUUCAAAAGAUGGGCGCCUAUGGCUCCACGCGUCUGUCUGUGAGCGCUCUCCUCAUUGGCCAUCAGGACUUCGGCACGAGAGUGGGGAAAGCAGGGUUAGGACACCACAUGGGACUAAUGGCCAUGAGCAAAAUGCAAACAGGCGGGGGAAAGUCCUAUCUAGCCAGAGAUUAAUGUUUGCUCCUCCCCAAGUAGCCUGUGAGGUGCCAUUUAACAUCAAGAGGACACACCUAGAACAGCACAUCCAGAAUCCCCUGAGGAUCUUGUAACAUCACUGGUUCUGAUUCGGGAGGUCUGUGGUGAGGACCCAGAUGCUAUAUUUCUAACAAGCAUGCAGGGUGCUGCUGCUGGUCCACACGAGCAAAGAGCUUCAUGUGUUGAGAGUUGGGACACCUGGGUGGGAGGUCCAGCUGCCAACACUGUAGGUUUCAAUAAAUCUCAGAGCCAAUUUGCAGCUAAGUGGACUUAAGUCGACACCAGUCCUUUCUAACUUCUUUCGUUGUUUAAAUAGGAUAAUGGAUUUCAUUAUGGAUGGGAAGCAGGACAUUGUACAUCAGGGAUUCUUAUCCAGAAGGGCCUCAUGAGCUACAGAAUGUACAUGAAAUUGGGCUGGACAAAAGUUUGUAUUACAGGCUCGUAGCACUGGAGGUUUCUGUCGGAGCAGACAAUUUGAGGAGGGCCGGCCCUGCUGAACACAGUGAACGGAUCGGGUCUGAACCCCUCCUCCACAGACAGGUGAAGACUUCAUCUUGGACAAGCAUCACUAUAUAGGGACUGGUAUUUGGGAUGGAAAAAUAUACAUCUUGGCGGAAAGAGUAUGAGUUUUAGAAUUAGAUAAAUAUAGCUGUAUGAUUGUUAUCAAUCCAGGAAUUGGCAAACUUUUUCUGUAAAGGUGAGGGUACUGUAUUUUAGGGUCUGGGGGCCAUAUGGUCUUUCUUGCAAAUAUUCAACUCUGCCUGUGUAGCAUGAAAGUAGCCAUGGACAGCUCAAACAAAUGAGCAUGGCUGUGUUCUAAUAAAACUUUAUUUACAAAAACAGGCAGGGGAGCACAUUUAGCAUGCUGGCAGUUGCUUACUGAUCUAACUACCCUUACAAGAAUUAAAUUCCAAAUCUAUUAAAUAAGAUAAUGAUAAAAAUUUAAAAAAGAAAUCCAUAGCACUAGGUCUAGCACCUAGUACAGUGCCUAGCUAAGUAGGGAGAGAAAAUCAUGCUAAUUUCCUUUCCUCCAUGUUUUACUUCCCAGAUCCUCCCAAUCGCAUACAUAGUCAGUUGACCCUUGAACAACAUGGGUUAGGAGUGCCGACCCCUGUGCAGUUGAAAAUCCAUAUAUAAUUUUGGCUCUCCCAAAACUUUACUACUACCUACUGUUGACCGGUAGUUUUACUGAUAACAGUCAAUUAGCGCAUAUUUUUGUAUGUUAUAUGUUAUAUGUGUGCUAUACUGUGUUCUUAUGAUAAAGUAAGCCAGAGAAAACACUAAGAAAAUCAUGAGGAAAAUACAUUUACAGUAUUGAAAAAAAAAUGUAUAAGUGGACUUGUGCAAUU